CCCACAGGAAAUUCGACUGCCCAGAAAUGAUGCUGUACUUGGCACUGUCUUCCUCGCAUAUUAUCUUCUGUUCCUCACCAGAGAAAUCCCUGGCACUCUCUGGAAUUCCACUUAGAAAAGGAACUUGAGGUCCAGUGAUAAAUAACAUGACCCGGCUCACAAAGCUAUUACAUCACACAAUCACCUGCCCUGGCAAGACUCCCCUCCUCCCAGCGGCAGUUGAACAAGAUGCCUCUCUCAGCAUAUUUGC